UCUUAACCAGGAACCAUCUGUUGGAUCUGGCAACUUUGUUUUCCAAGAACCAACAGAAAUCCCUGGCAACAACAACUGCCAGGAGGAGGAGCCAGAGCAGAAACUGGAGCCGGCUAUUAACAUCUGCCAUG